rnacentral:rRNA from 1 species
AUAUAACUAGGCGGAGGAAAAGAAACUAACCAGGAUUCCCUUAGUAACGGCGAGUGAAGCGGGACAAGCUCAGACUGAAAAUCUUCGGAAUUGUAGUCUGGAGAAGUCAAAUCAACUUCAAGUUUCGGAUAAAGUCUCUUGGAACAGAGCGCCGUGGAGGGUGAUAGCCCCGUUCAUGUCUGAAAUGAAAAGUGUACGAUUGGCUUUCUAAGAGUCGAGUUGUUUGGGAUUGCAGCUCUAAGUGGGUGGUAAAUUCCAUCUAAAGCUAAAUAUAAAUGGGAGACCGAUAGCGAACAAGUACCGUGAGGGAAAGAUGCAAAGAACUUUGAAAAGAGAGUUAAAUAGUACCUGAAAUUGCUGAAAUGGAACCGUUGGGAGGCAGUGUCGGCUGGGUGGUACUUGUAUCAUUUAGCAAGUCAGGCUUUCUUAAUUAUGUGGGAAAGGCUUCUAGACCAGUUUGGGCUAGUUUUGCUGUCAUGUGAUUGAGAGACUCUGACGAAAUGCCUCUUAACAA